rnacentral:lncRNA from 1 species
ACAGCUUUCUCUGCAACGGGUGCCUCCACAAUUGUGAUAGAGAAUGACAUGCCCCAGCAUAAUGCCUCAACCCAAGUGUCAACCUACCCUUGACAGAGAAGAGAACCCCAAAUGAAUCUCCCAAGCAACACAAGCUGACCCAACACAGCAAAGCGAGUCACCUUUGAAGAGAAAGAAUGACGCUUAUUUUCUCCUCCAAAGACCUACUUGGAAAGUAGACGUGGUUUACUGCAAAUCUCUCCCUGCCUGCCCCAGGAUGUUGUCAAGAUGUAUUAAACAGCAAAGGAGGGGAGGAAAAUAAGUUCUGGGAGAUCUGCUGGUAUAGAAAAGUGGGACAGUGUGCUGGGCCCUCGUCUUCCACCCCGGGAGGCUGACAGUAUGGACCACAUCCGUGGGAUCUCUGGAUUCUGGUUGAGUCUGCCAGAGAGAGUCAGGCUCCCUCCCUGAUUCUCCCUGUGGAAAAUCACAUCGGACUGGCUCUGGCCCUUGACCAAAAGUCAUUGUGUUUCUCAAAACAGCCUGCUUUAUACAGCUUUCUCCAGGGUUCCAGUAACUGCAUCCUUCCCCUGCCCUCCCGGUUCAGGGUGGUAAGGGCUCUGCUAUUUCUCCUGAGUUGCAGUGUCAUCUCCUAUAGUUCCCUGCACCUCAUUCUCUCUUGUGUAAAAUGUCACUAAUUAAAUAUCCUUCGAUGCCCCUAACUUGAAUGUGUCUUAAGACCCAAACUGAUACAGACAAGGUGAUUGCAAAUGUCAGGUGAAGCUUUGACUCCUGGUUCCAGCACUGUCAAAAGCCUUGGGAAAGAACAUUUCAUGUCUCUGUAUCUCAGUGGUCUCAACUGUAAAAUGGGAAGAAAACAACACAACUAUGACGGCCUACCUGAGCAUCAGAUGUGUCCAUGUAAGGAAAGUACCCAGAGACGUCCUGGUUAUACAGUAGGAGCACAAGGAAUACAAGUCCUCCCCCUUUCAUGCCAUUUUUCCCCUCUCCAACACUUCCUCCUGUCUUGUAACAAUGGGAGGCUUUGGACGAUUUAAAGGCUCUUCUCCGUUGCAUGAGUCAGAAACAAGUAACAAAACCAAGUGAUAAAUUUACGUGGACCACAGACAGACGCCUUUUUGUGCUUGUCAAUAAAAUGUUUAAAAUAGAACUUGAUUUGCUUUCGCUUUAAAGAAGGUUAUUAACUUGCUUAGAUUUACCCGAGGAACAGAGGCAGGUGUUGUUCCCCAUUACUCACUAGGUCUUUAAUCAGCAUCCAGG